rnacentral:rRNA from 1 species
GAUGAACGCUGGCGGCGUGCCUAAUACAUGCCAGUCGAACGAAACUUCUUUAUCACCGAGUGCUUGCACUCACCGAUAAAGAGUUGAGUGGCGAACGGGUGAGUAACACGUGGGCAACCUGCCCAAAAGAGGGGGAAAACACUUGGAAACAGGUGCUAAUACCGCAUAACCAUAGUUACCGCAUGGUAACUAUGUAAAAGGUGGCUAUACUACCGCUUUUGGAUGGGCCCGCGGCGCAUUAGCUAGUUGGUAGGGUAAAGGCUUACCAAGGCAAUGAUGCGUAGCCGAAUUGAGAGGUUGAUCGGCCACAUUGGGACUGAGACACGGCCCAAACUCCUACGGGAGGCAGCAGUAGGGAAUCUUCCACAAUGGGCGAAAGCCUGAUGGAGCAACGCCGCGUGGGUGAAGAAGGUCUUCGGAUCGUAAAACCCUGUUGUUAGAGAAGAAAGUGCGUGAGAGUAACUGUUCACGUUUCGACGGUAUCUAACCGGAAAGCCACGGCUAACUACGUG